AACGAACGCUGGCGGCAGGCCUAACACAUGCAAGUCGAGCGCGCCCUUCGGGGUGAGCGGCGGACGGGUGAGUAACGCGUGGGAACGUGCCCUUUUCUACGGAAUAGCCUCGGGAAACUGAGAGUAAUACCGUAUACGCCCUUUGGGGGAAAGAUUUAUCGGAAAAGGAUCGGCCCGCGUUGGAUUAGGUAGUUGGUGGGGUAAUGGCCUACCAAGCCGACGAUCCAUAGCUGGUUUGAGAGGAUGAUCAGCCACACUGGGACUGAGACACGGCCCAGACUCCUACGGGAAGCAGCAGUGGGGAAUCUUAGACAAUGGGGGUAACCCUGAUCUAGCCAUGCCGCGUGAGUGAUGAAGGCCUUAGGGUUGUAAAGCUCUUUCAGCUGGGAAGAUAAUGACGGUACCAGCAGAAGAAGCCCCGGCUAACUCCGUG
rnacentral:rRNA from 1 species